GCACAUUUCAUAUACAUCUUUUGUCACUCAAAUAUGCGGUUUAUUGAGAUAUAUUCAUUCACUUCUUGCUAUGAAUUGUUGCGUAUUUGCAUGAAAAUCAUAUAAAUGGGUCAUUUACUACUCAGCAGCUUGUUUUGCAGAAAAUUGCGAGAAGGCACUAUAAACUUCAAGAUCUGGACUAAGUGGCUAAGAGAACGAAGAAGAGGAGGAAGAAUGGAUUUGUGCGAGGAGAAACAAAGUAACCAGGGGGCCAACUUGAGAAGAGAGGGAUGUUCUUGCGAAGAAAGAAGGAAGCAGGAGGGCCAUUGUGCAAAUGGAAGAUCAGAUCGAGGGGUCAAAAUCCCUAGUCCAUUUCCAAUUCCCCUCUAGCCUGGCAUCUCCAUCUCUCUCCCCCUCACCACUUCUUCUCCCACCUCCGGCCGCCGCCGCGGCCAGGCCAUCGUGGCAGCGCCUCCGCGACCUCGCUGCUCCACCAUCACCCGCGCCAUCCACCACCCACACCAUCAUCCAUCCAUCACAGCGCCAGCCACCAGUGCCCACCUCGCGCGACCUCUCUCUCCAGCCGGCGCGCCCGACCAGACACACCGCCACUGCUUCUUCUUCCCUUCUUCCCCGCUUCUCUGAAUCCCUGUCUGCUGCUCCUUCUUCCCCGCGCCCCUGCUGCUGCUCGUCUACAACUCUCCCUGCUGCUAUCCUUCUCCAAGCUCGCCUCCUCUCUGAAUCCCUACUGCUGCUGCUCUUCUACUUUCCCCUACCACGCUGCUGUUCUGCUCCUUCUCCAUCUCCAAACUCCAAGUCGUUGCUGCUACUCCAUCUUCCUUUGCCCCGCUGCUCCUCCUCCCUCCUCUCAACGCCCCUGCUGCUGCUUCUUUUCUGUCAACCUCCUACUGUUGCCUUCUCUCUCUCUCUCUCUCUCUGAAAUUUCUGUAGUAUUGAGAGAUGUUUAAGACUUGUAAGGUUCAGAUUGAAGAGUACAUGCAAACUGCUGUUUGCUCUAUUUAGUACUUGUAUAAUAUAGUAAAAUUGCGAGAAGGCACUAUAAACUUCAAGAUCUGGACUAAGUGACUAAGAGAACGAAGAAGAGGAGGAAGAAUGGAUUUGUGCGAGAAGAAACAAAGUAACCAGGGGGCCAACUUGAGAAGAGAGCGAUGUUCUUGCGAAGGAAGAAGGAAGCAGGAGGGCCAUUGUGCAAGUGGAAGAUCAGAUCGAGGGGUCAAAAUCCCUAGUCCAUUUCCAAUUCCCAUCGAGCCUGGCAUCUCCAUCUCUCUCCCCCUCACCACUUCUUCUCCCACCUCCGGCCGCCGCCGCGGCCAGGCUAUCGUGGCGGCGCCUCCGCGACCUCGCUGCUCCACCAUCACCCGCGCCAUCCACCACCCACACCAUCAUCCAUCCAUCACAGCGCCAGCCACCAGUGCCCACCUCGCGCGACCUCUCCCUCCAGCUGGCGCGCCCAGCCAGACACACUGCUGCUGCUUCUUCUUCCCUUCUUCCCCGCUUCUCUGAAUCCCUGUCUGCUGCUCCUUCUUCCUCGCGCCCCUGCUGCUGCUCGUCUACAACUCUCCCUGCUACUAUCCUUCUCCAAGCUCGCCUCCUCUCUGAAUCCCUACUACUGCUGCUCUACUACUUUCCCCUACCACGCUGCUGUUCUGCUCCUUCUCCAUCUCCAAACUCCAAGUCGUUGCUGCUACUCCAUCUUCCUUUGCCCCGCUACUCCUCCUCCCUCCUCUCAACGCCCCCUGCUGCUGCUUCUUUUCUCUCAACCUCCUGCUGUUGCCUUCUCUCUCUCUCUGAAAUUUCUAUAGUAUUGAGAGAUGUUUAAGACUUGUAAGGUUCAGAUUUGAAGAGUACAUGCAAACUGCUAUUUGCUCUGUUUAGUACUUGUAUAAUAUAGUGUAUGUGUUUUGGGAUCUGACUAGUUGAUGCAUCUAUAUAAAAUAAGUUCGUGAA